AUAAGAAGGUGGCAAUGAUUCAACCAUGGGUCAUUUGGCAACUCUCAUUAGCAGGUGACAGGGCUGUGGUGAAGGGCAAAGGAGAAUCAUUCCAAUUAUGUCCCAUAGCUUUUACUUGUUCCUCCAAUUCCAUGCCUUUCUCAAUUUUGCUUUUUUUUUUUUUUUUCAGGGUCUCACUCUGUCACCCAGGCUACAUACAGUGUGGUGGCACAAUGGCAGCUCACUUCAGUCUCAACCUCCUGGGCUCAAGCAAAUCCUCCCAGCUCAGCCUUCUAAGUAGCUAGGAAUAUAGGCACAUGCCAUCAUGUCCGGCUAAUUUUCUUCUUCUCAUUAUUAUUAUUAUUUUGUAGAGACAGGGUCUCAUUAUGUUUCCCAUGCUGGUCUCGAACUCCUGGGCUCAAGCCGUCCCUCCACCUCGGCCUGCCAAAGUGAUGGGGUUACAGGUGUGAGCCAUUGCAACCAACAAUUUUGCUUUUCAGUGUAGUUGUUUGCAUACUUGCCUCCCCAGUAAGAUUUUAAAGGUGUGCAAAGGCAUAAACUAGACACGUAUUCAUCAGUGACCCCUAUAGCACUUAGCAGGAUACUUUGCAGGAAUAUUCUGCAGUAAUUGCUGCUUCAUAAAUGUUGGUUGGAUUAUAUCUUCAAAUAUCUGGUCCUGUGGAUUUAUUCCACAGAUGCUGCAUUAAACAUUUGGCUAUAAGCAUAAACAGACAUGUGGGAUAGGCUUUGUGCUUGGCCUGAAAGAGUUUCACUCUUUUUAAAAAAUUAAAGUUUUAAAAUAUAUUUUGGAGACAGAGUCUCAUUCUGUCACUCAAGUCUGGAGUGCCAUGAUGCUAUCACAGGUCACUGCAGCCUCAAACCCCUGGGCUCAAGUGAUCCUCACACCUCAGCCUCCCGAGUAGCUGGGACUACAGUUGUGAGCCACCAUGCCCUGCUAAUGUUUUCAUUUUUAUAGAGGUCUUGUUAUGUUGCCCAGGAUGGUCUCAAACUCCUGUCCUCAAGCGAUCCCGUGCCACCUCAGCAUCCCAAAAUGUUGGGAUCACAGGUGUGAGCCACAGCACCUGGCAGGAAACUGACUCUUUAUUAAAUCUGUGAGUCCCAUUUUACGCUUAACAGAGUGACUUGAGUGUAUUGCUUGUCAGGAGCCAUAGUCGGAGAGCUGUGCUCCAAACCAGUAUGAUUUUAAAAAACUUCCUGAAGAGAAGAAACAAAGGCACUGAAGUCAGCUUUGAGUUGACUUGUUCUAAUUUUGAACACCUCUUGUUAUCAGUAAAUCCUUCAGUCUCCAAUCUCACAAGGUGCCUUUUAAUCCCCCGUACUCUCUCUUUUCUCAUGGGAGAGAUGGAUUUUGGCCACUUUGCUAUGUUAUGUGGAACCAUUUAUGCUCUUGACUGUGGUAGCAGUAUGACCUCGCAGCUUCGGGUGAGGUUUGAGCCAAAUCAUGCAUUGGUCUGUUUUCCCCAUUAACUGGUGAACUGUAGAGUUAGAGCUAUGGAUGUAGAUUACAUUUUGAAGCUUAGUCAUCAGCAAGAGCCUGAUUAAUUUCUUUAGCUCUGAUAUUAGUCCAAAGCCAGAGGCUUUCAGUUUGGUGAAAAACAUUAACUGCCUCCUUCAUUUGGGCUGAUUGAUUGGUGGCUGAACAGAAGGCAUUUCUUCCAGUCCACAGUGAAUGUGAAUUUUCCUUCAGAUGCUCCCACUGAAAGCAUAAGCUUUGUUUACUCAUGCAAGGAGUGAAAAGAUCAGAUUCCUUUUCUGCUCAACUGUUCCUAACAGCUUUCUCAGAAUCUUAAUUUUUCUCUUCUACUCCCAGCCAGCAAGGAGAGAUGGUGGCAAGACACUGACUUUGAAUUGGAGGAUGGGAUUGAAGACUGCUCCUGCUUCUUCCUUGGUCAAUGCAUUAAUAACCAGCUCAGAAAAUAAUAUGUCAACCAGAUUUUCUCUCUCAGCAGUGAAUAACAUCUCAGAAUACCUUGGAGUUGAAGCAAUUUCAGAUUGGAGAGUUAAGUAACUUUACCCAAGAUUACAUGACCAGGAAAUAGAGAAGGUGGGACUCUAACUGCAGUCUACAUUUUACAGGUGACUAUGGAAUGCCACUAUAUUGUAUUUCCAGGUAGACUGUGAAUGGUUGAAACAUGCUCCUGUUGUCUGCUAACUGCUUAACGCCAGCUUCUGGGGUGCUACUUUCUCAAAAGAUGUAAUUGGCAUCAGGAUGGCCCUUCUCAUCUUAACAUUUGCUUUCAUGUAGAUUCUAGAAUGUUUGCAAAUACUUGUAUCUUAGUCCAUGGGUAGAUGAUUGUUUUAGCAGAAAAGGAUUUAUGUCACUUUAUAGAAGCAUAGGGAUUUAAGAUUGCCCUUGAAGAAUGGGCAGGGCUCAGAACAAUUAAAUGGAGUGAUGAUAGUCAGUUGAACUAUCUACUGCCACGGGCUGUGGUCUAGAUGAACCGAGCCUUUUCAACAUUAUCUUCAAAAGUCAUGAUUUUCUUUUUCUGUGAAAGGAGAAUAUUAUUCAUUUAACUCAUUGCAAUGAAUUUUCUGUGAUUUUUAUGCAUGACCCUGUUCAAUGCUGUGGUUUUGUACAGUGCUAUGGUGGAAUUAGCUAGCUUUUGGUUUUCUAGCAUUUGAAUACUCUCUUACUUGGAGACUGCCGUUUGUUAUGCAGGCCUUUGUGGGAGGGAUGGUGAGAUCCCCAAACGAAACAAAAGGAAGGAACAAAUAUCCUCUCUCCCUGUUCUUUGCUGCUUGAGUAACCUGGACUUGGCCAAUCAGAUGCUCCUGUCCAACACUGUGAGGUCAUCUGUGGAAAUUUCUAGCACU
rnacentral:lncRNA from 1 species